rnacentral:rRNA from 1 species
CUGGCUCAGGAUGAACGCUAGCGGGAGGCAUAACACAUGCAAGCCGAGCGGUAGAGAUCUUUCGGGAUCUUGAGAGCGGCGUACGGGUGCGGAACACGUGUGCAACCUGCCUUUAUCUGGGGGAUAGCCUUUAGAAAGGAAGAUUAAUCCCCCAUAAUAUACUGAAUGGCAUCAUUCGGUAUUGAAAACUCCGGUGGAUAGAGAUGGGCUCGCGCAAGAUUAGAUAGUUGGUGAGGUAUCGGCUCACCAAGUAUACGAUCUUUAGGGGACAUGAGAGGGUGAUCCCCCACACUGGUAAUGAGACACGGACCAGACUCGUACGGGAGGCAGCAGUGAGGAAUAUUGGACAAUGGGUGAGAGCCUGAUCCAGCCAUCCCGCGUGAAGGACUACGGCCCUAUGGGUUGUAAACUUCUUUUGUAUAGGGAUAAACCUACCCUCGUGAGGGUAGUUGAAGGUACUAUAAGAAUAAGCACCGGCUAACUCCGUGCCAGCAGCCGCGGUAAUACGGAGGGUGCAAGCGUUAUCCGGAUUUAUUGGGUUUAAAGGGUCCGUAGGCGGAUCUGUAAGUCAGUGGUGAAAUCUCACAGCUUAACUGUGAAACUGCCAUUGAUACUGCAGGUCUUGAGUGUUGUUGAAGUAGCUGGAAUAAGUAGUGUAGCGGUGAAAUGCAUAGAUAUUACUUAGAACACCAAUGCGAAGGCAGGCUACUAAGCAACAACUGACGCUGA